GUUUGUUUACAGUCACAAACGGGACGUCGAGGAAGGUGCAUGCUACUAACAGCUUCGCUAACCAUUCUCUCUUUAUCAUCUCUUCCUUUAAAGACAUUCUUUUAGGAUAAAAUUUACUGAGGAAAUAUGGCUGGUCACUCUGUUCCUGUGGACUUCAGGGUCAAUCCUGCAAAGAUCUCCAACCCUGGUAAGA